CAUUGGCUGGGGUUGGGUUUGUAAGAAAUGCUUCCUGACCAGCUGUGCUUACGAGAGAGACAAGGUCCCCGUUUUCAGGGGCUGCUCAUUUCUCUGGCCCAGAGCAGUGUGUCCUCCACAGCAGAAGGUUGCAUCUAGGAGGAUGACUCCAGGUGUUUGCAGAGGAAUCGUCCAGGAGCCCUAGCUGGACAAGAAUAUGGCAGAAGUGGACCUGAGCAGCCAGGACAUCCUUCUAAGGAGACACGAAUAGUCCUCAUGUUUCUGCUUUCUGCAUCACGGGCUAUGAGUAAGAGUACCAAGGAAAACGAAGUCGCGCAUCAAAGUCUACUGCCCUGAUGCGAUGGAAAGCGAGCAAGAGCGUCGAAACUCUGACCAUUGUUGAUGCCACGCAAAAGCUGUCCAUCUGGAAGCCGAGGAGACGCUGCUGUCAGUGAGAUAAGUGUCUGGUUUGGGGAGGGCUCUGCUCACGCCCAACCCGAGUCCAGGUAGGGAAGCCCAGUACGGUAAGGCUGGGUUUGUAUGAAAAGGUUCCUGACUAGCUGUGGUCACGAGGGAGAAAAGGUCCCUGUUUUCAGAGGUUGCUCAUUUUUCUGGUCAGGAACAGUGUCUCCUGCACAGGGGGAGGUUGGAUCCAGGAUGACGACUCAGGUGGUGAGUUGCUUGCUUUCCUCCCAUUUCUCUCUCUCUUCUCUAGUGUGUUGGCCAACUUUCUCACUCUCUUCCCUCUCCUCUCCUCGUGCCGUCUCACUUCCUAAGACAUGGGCAGGCGUGCUAGGUGUGUAUCCCUACAGGCUAGGUCUCGGGAUCCAUGGAGUAGCGGGAGCUGACG